rnacentral:rRNA from 1 species
AACGAGCGCUGGCGGCAGGCUUAACACAUGCAAGUCGAACGGGCGUAGCAAUACGUCAGUGGCAGACGGGUGAGUAACACGUGGGAAUAUGCCCUUUAGUUCGGAAUAACCAAGGGAAACUUUGGCUAAUACCGGAUAAGCCCGAGAGGGGAAAGAUUUAUCGCUGAAGGAGUAGCCCGCGUCUGAUUAGCUAGUUGGUGAGGUAAUGGCUCACCAAGGCGACGAUCAGUGGCUGGUCUGAGAGGAUGAUCAGCCACACUGGGACUGAGACACGGCCCAGACUCCUACGGGAGGCAGUAGUGGGGAAUAUUGGACAAUGGGGGCAACCCUGUUCCAGCCAUGCCGCGUGAGUGAUGAAGGCCUUAGGGUUGUAAAACUCUUUUAUCCGGGAAGAUAAUGACUGUACCGGAAGAAUAAGCCCCGGCUAACUUCGUGCCAGCCGCCGCCGUAA